AACUUUUGGCAACGGAUCUCUUGGCUCUCGCAUCGAUGAAGAACGCAGCGAAAUGCGAUGAGUAAUGUGAAUUGCAGAAUUCAGUGAAACAUCGAAUCUUUGAACGCACCUUGCGCCCCUCGGUUAUUCCUUGGGGCAUGCCUGUUUGAGUAUCAUGAACACCCCAACUCUCACGGUCUUCCGUGACGAGCUUGGACUUUGGGGGUUUGCUGGCCCUGCGGCCGGCUCCUCUCAAACAAAUCAGCUUGCCAGUGUUUGGCGGCAUCUCACGGGUGUGAUAACUAUCUACGCUCGCUGUCGUCUGCCAGGUAACCUUCGUCACCGAAGGUUUGCUGGGGCUUACAAACGUCUCUCCUUAGCGAAGACAGCUUUUGAACGUUCGAUCUCAAAUCAGGUAGGACUACCCGCUGAACUUAAGCAUAUCAAUAAGCGGAGGCU
rnacentral:misc_RNA from 1 species